GGUUGUGGCUCAGAGGCAGAGUGCCUGUCUAGUAUGCAUGAGGCGCUAGGUUCAAUCCUCAGCACCA
rnacentral:tRNA from 1 species